CCUACGGGGGGCAGCAGUGGGGAAUAUUGGACAAUGGGCGAAAGCCUGAUCCAGCCAUGCCGCGUGUGUGAAGAAGGCCUUCGGGUUGUAAAGCACUUUCAGUGGGGAAGAAAGCCUUGGGGCUAAUACCCUCGAGGAAGGACAUCACCCACAGAAGAAGCACCGGCUAACUCCGUGCCAGCAGCCGCGGUAAUACGGAGGGUGCGAGCGUUAAUCGGAAUUACUGGGCGUAAAGCGCGCGUAGGCGGUCUGAUAAGCCGGUUGUGAAAGCCCCGGGCUCAACCUGGGAACGGCAUCCGGAACUGUCAGGCUAGAGUGCAGGAGAGGAAGGUAGAAUUCCCGGUGUAGCGGUGAAAUGCGUAGAGAUCGGGAGGAAUACCAGUGGCGAAGGCGGCCUUCUGGACUGACACUGACGCUGAGGUGCGAAAGCGUGGGUAGCAAACAGGAUUAGAUACCCCUGUAGCC
rnacentral:rRNA from 1 species